rnacentral:rRNA from 1 species
CUACGGGGGGCUGCAGUGGGGAAUUUUGCGCAAUGGGGGCAACCCUGACGCAGCAAUACCGCGUGAGUGAAGAAGGCCUUUGGGUCGUAAAGCUCUUUUCUAAGGGAAGAUAGUGACGGUACCUUAGGAAUAAGCACCGGCUAACUCCGUGCCAGCAGCCGCGGUAAUACGGAGGGUGCGAGCGUUGUUCGGAUUUACUGGGCGUAAAGGGCACGUAGGCGGCCUAGCAAGUUAAGGGUGAAAUCCCGGGGCUCAACUCCGGAACUGCUCUUAAAACUGCUAAGCUAGAGAUAGUCAGAGGCGGGUGGAAUUCCAGGUGUAGAGGUGAAAUUCGUAGAUAUCUGGAGGAACACCGGUGGCGAAGGCGGCCCGCUGGGGCUAUUCUGACGCUGAGGUGCGAAAGCGUGGGGAGCGAACGGAAUUAGAUACCCCCGUAGUC